CUUCCAGGAAAAGCCUCUAAGCUUCAGAUAGUCAGGAAUCGUACCCCAAACCGACACAGGUGGUCGGGUAGAGAAUACCAAGGCGCUUGAGAGAACUCGGGUGAAGGAACUAGGCAAAAUGGUACCGUAACUUCGGGAGAAGGUACGCUCUUGAUGGUGAAGUCCCUCGCGGAUGGAGCUGACGAGAGUCGCAGAUACCAGGUGGCUGCAACUGUUUAUUAAAAACACAGCACUGUGCAAAAUCGCAAGAUGACGUAUACGGUGUGACGCCUGCCCGGUGCCGGAA
rnacentral:rRNA from 1 species